UACAAGAUGGUUGAGGUAUAAACUAUAAACUGUAAAUUUAUAAACGGAAGAAUAUUCCUCUUGUAU
rnacentral:tRNA from 1 species